GAUGAACGCUGGCGGCGUGCCUAAUACAUGCAAGUCGAACGCAUAGCGAAAGGUGCUUGCACCUUUCAAGUGAGUGGCGAACGGGUGAGUAACACGUGGACAACCUGCCUCAAGGCUGGGGAUAACAUUUGGAAACAGAUGCUAAUACCGAAUAAAACUUAGUGUCGCAUGACACAAAGUUAAAAGGCGCUUCGGCGUCACCUAGAGAUGGAUCCGCGGUGCAUUAGUUAGUUGGUGGGGUAAAGGCCUACCAAGACAAUGAUGCAUAGCCGAGUUGAGAGACUGAUCGGCCACAUUGAGACUGAGACACGGCCCAAACUCCUACGGGAGGCUGCAGUAGGGAAUCUUCCACAAUGGGCGAAAGCCUGAUGGAGAAACGCCGCGUGUGUGAUGAAGGCUUUCGGGUCGUAAAGCACUGUUGUAUGGGAAGAACAGCUAGAAUAGGAAAUGAUUUUAGUUUGACGGUACCAUACAAGAAAGGAACGGCUAAAUACGU
rnacentral:rRNA from 1 species